rnacentral:rRNA from 1 species
GACGAAGGGGGCGAGCGUUAUCCGGAAUGACUGGGCGUAAAGGGUUCGUAGACGGUAUUUUUUGUGAUAGGUGAAAUCGAGGAGCUCAACUCCUUCCUGCCUUUCAAACGUUUAUACUAUGAGUCCGAAAGGAGAUAGCAGAAUUUCACAUGGAGGGGUGAUAUCCGUGGAUAUGUGAAGGACUCUCAGCGGCGAAGGCGGCUAUCUAGUUCGGUACUGACGUUGAGGAACGAAAGCAUGGGGAUCAAACAGG